CCUGCCGUAUACCGGGGGACAACAGAGGGAAACUUUUGCUAAUACCGCAUAAGCGCACAGUGCCACAUGGCACAGUGUGAAAAACUCCGGUGGUAUACGAUGGACUCGCGUCUGAUUAGCCAGUUGGUGAGGUAACGGCUCACCAAAGCAACGAUCAGUAGCCGGCCUGAGAGGGUGAACGGCCACAUUGGGACUGAGACACGGCCCAGACUCCUACGGGAGGCAGCAGUGGGGAAUAUUGCACAAUGGAGGAAACUCUGAUGCAGCGACGCCGCGUGAGUGAAGAAGUAUUUCGGUAUGUAAAGCUCUAUCAGCAGGGAAGAAAGAAAUGACGGUACCUGGCUAAGAAGCCCCGGCUAACUACGUGCCAGCAGCCGCGGUAAUACGUAGGGGGCAAGCGUUAUCCGGAUUUACUGGGUGUAAAGGGAGCGUAGACGGCGAUGCAAGUCAGAUGUGAAAACCCAUGGCUCAACCAUGGGAUUGCAUUUGAAACUGUGUUGCUAGAGUGCAGGAGAGGUAAGCGGAAUUCCUGGUGUAGCGGUGAAAUGCGUAGAUAUCAGGAGGAACACCGGUGGCGAAGGCGGCUUACUAGACUGUAACUGACGUUGAGGCUCGAAGGCGUGGGUAGCAAACAGGAUUAGAUACCCUGGUAGUCCACGCAGUAAACGAUGAUUACCA
rnacentral:rRNA from 1 species